rnacentral:rRNA from 1 species
GAUGAACGCUAGCUACAGGCUUAACACAUGCAAGUCGAGGGGCAGCGGGAUUGAAGCUUGCUUCAAUUGCCGGCGACCGGCGCACGGGUGAGUAACGCGUAUCCAACCUUCCGUACACUCAGGGAUAGCCUUUCGAAAGAAAGAUUAAUACCUGAUGGUAUCUUAAGCACACAUGUAAUUAAGAUUAAAGAUUUAUCGGUGUACGAUGGGGAUGCGUUCCAUUAGGUAGUAGGCGGGUAACGGCCCACCUAGCCAACGAUGGAUAGGGGUUCUGAGAGGAAGGUCCCCCANACUGGUACUGAGACACGGACCAGACUCCUACGGGAGGCAGCAGUGAGGAAUAUUGGUCAAUGGGCGAGAGCCUGAACCAGCCAAGUCGCGUGGAGGAAGACUGCCCUACGGGUUGUAAACUCCUUUUAUAAGGGGAUAAAGUUGGCCAUGUAUGGCCAUUUGCAGGUACCUUAUGAAUAAGCAUCGGCUAAUUCCGUG